GACGAGGUGACCGAGCGGUUAAGGUGAUGGACUGCUAAUCUAUUGUGCAUUGCAUGCAUGGGUUCGAAUCCCAUCCUCGUCG
rfam:Daphnia pulex DAPPTscaffold_2429_Cont14177, whole genome shotgun sequence.